ensembl:rRNA 5S_rRNA 5S ribosomal RNA
GCCUACGGCCAUAUCACCCUGAAUGCGCCCAAACUCGUCUGAUCUCGGAAGCUAAGCAGGGUCGGGCCUUGGAUGGGAGAAGCAGCAUUACAAAAAGGGAGAGAAAGACA